ACGGCUCAGUAACCACGUGGACAACCUACCCUGAGGUCGGGGAUAAACCCGGGAAACUGGGUAUAAUACCCCGAUAGAUCUAGAUCGCUGGAAUGCUUUUAGGUCUAAAGUUCCGACGCCUCAGGAUGGGUCUGCGGCCUAUCAGGGUAGUAGUGGGUGUAAAGUACCUACUAGCCCACGACGGGUACGGGUUGUGAGAGCAAGAGCCCGGAGAUGGAUUCUGAGACACGAAUCCAGGCCCUACGGGGUGCAGCAGGCGCGAAACCUUUACAAUGCUGGCAACAGCGAUAAGGGGACCUCGAGUGCUACGAUACAAUCGUGGCUGUCUAGUUGCCUAAAAAGCAAUUGAUAGCAAGGGCCGGGCAAGACCGGUGCCAGCCGCCGCGGUAACACCGGCGGCUCGAGUGGUAACCGCUAUUAUUGGGUCUAAAGGGUCUGUAGCCGGCUUAGUUAGUCUCUUGAGAAAUCUGGCCGCUCAACGGUCAGGCGUUCAGGGGAUACUGCUAAAGCUCGAGACCGGGAGAGGUGAGAGGUACUUCAGGGGUAGGGGUGAAAUCUUGUAAUCCUUGAAGGACCACCAGUGGCGAAGGCGUCUCACCAGAACGGAUCUGACGGCAAGGGACGAAAGCUAGGGGCACGAACCGGAUUAGAUACCUGGGUAGUCCUAGCCGUAAACGAUACUCGCUAGGUGUCGGCCACGGUGCGACCGUGGUCGGUGCCGUAGGGAAGCCGUGAAGCGAGCCACCUGGGAAGUACGGCCGCAAGGCUGAAACUUAAAGGAAUUGGCGGGGGAGAAU
rnacentral:rRNA from 1 species